rnacentral:lncRNA from 1 species
AGAGACUUUGUAAUGUUUAGGUCCUAAAAUAAAAUUUAAUGUAAAACAAGGAGAAGGCUCUGAGGAGAGAAUAGGACCUUUACUAGAAGUUGUGCAAGGUUCCAGCCGCACGGUCCCUAUUGUACCUGGACAAACUCGUUUUCUGACAUAUUAUCUUCUUUCACAGCCAUAUUCCUCAUCUUGUGAUUGUGUCGUUUCUUUGGACAAUG